rnacentral:rRNA from 1 species
UGAGGAAUUUUGCGCAAUGGGGGAAACCCUGACGCAGCAACGCCGCGUGAGUGAUGAAGGCCUUCGGUCGUAAAGCUCUGUCAAGUGGGAAGAAUCUGCCCGGCGAUAAUACCGCUGGGCAAUGACGGUACCGCUGAAGGAAGCACCGGCUAACUCUGUGCC